CUUAGAACAAUCCAGGAGGUCCACCGCUGCAUAGAUUUCCAAAAAGAAAAAGAAACGAAUAACCUUCUCACUUCCUCUCCAUCGCCGCCGUCAUCGCCCAAAUCUCCUCUUCCGUUGUUAGUCGGGCACGGUGCCCUCCCAUCUCCAUCCAUUCGCCACACCUCGAGCGCUCCAGCGGAAUUGGCCUCCUCACCGUCUCGCCCUGCCGGAAGAGCUCCAAGGGAGGAGCGCCGCCAUGGAUCAUCCCCGACAUGCCUUGCACAGGUCUCCACCCUUCCCGAGCGACCUUGCCCCGAGCGAGUUCGCCUCUUCCCCGAUUUUUGCCCCGAGCGAGUUCACCCUGCUUUUCUCAGCUCCCCCGCUGCCCCGCGAGUUUCGCCCCUGGCCCGAUUUUUGCCGCGCCCCUCCCCCUGUUCCUCUUCCCGGCUGCUGGCCUUCCGGUCUGGAUCAUGGACAGGAGCAGGGGCGGUUAAUUUCAGGCUGGAAAGGGUGCUGGUUAUGAAGGCUAGGGCCGAUAUGGUGGGGCGAGGCAGCCGUUUCUGACGUCUUCCAUGCUGAUGCGAUAGGUGGGGAGCACUGUCUCCAUGCGGAGAGAGUACAGUAGUGCAGUUGCUGAUGAAAUUCUCUGUAGGAAAAGGCCAGUUUGCUUCGUUAUUUCAAACUCCAAAAUACUCCUUUGUAUUGUUUCUUUUUCGUUAGGAAGAGUUGAGUGCUUCUAGAAUCAUGGGAUGUGGGAGUUAUUCAGCAAUUCAUAAUUUCAGAUUGAAGAACUUCAUAAGCCGCUUUCAUUUGUGAGCUGCCUUUACCUUCUCCACAUUUACAGUAGCCAUUUAUCGAUAGUAGUGAAAAUCAAGAUUAAUUGCGUUCCGGAAGAAACAUCGCCCCUACAGAAUAAUCAGUGUGCAAAAGUGCAUGAGGUUGAUCCGCAGCCCAAGAGUUUUCCUCUAUUUUCAUAUAAUGCACAAAACACUUAUAUCAGGUAUUUACUCUGCCUUAUAUUUGAUUUGCUGCCUGCAUUGUCCACUUUACCUUUUAGUCUCCCUUUGAACUGCCGGCAUGCUUAGGACAAUGUUAUUGUACUUUUUGUGGGCAUUGCUGCCACUUAUUAUUCAGGUAUAAUGAACCAGACAUGUAUUGACACAUUUUUUCAUUUUAUUACAGAUUAAACCGCUGGCGCUACUACCAGAAUGUUAUCUUUCAAGAGCACAUCCUUCACAUGUUGGCUUGGACAAAGGCUUCGGCUUCUCCAAGCACUUCUUCACCAAGUACAAUCCCAGUCACAAGGUUGGCCACAGCCAAUUGGGCUGCAGCUGCGCCGUCAAAGCAAAGAAGGCAAGCACAAGGGUCAGGAUGACCAUCAAGUUCAUCCCCAAGGCAAACGUCUGAUGCCAUUUCUCUCUGAUUAUUGCACACACUUUUUUUCGGACCUGACAUCAGUUUAACUGAUCACGAUUUUUGUGUCAUAUAUACCAUGUAGUUUAGAUCAGUUUUUUUUUGGUGCACUUGCCAAGUGAUUGAUGAUAGGUUUGGGAGAAUUUGUUUGUUGGAUGAAUAUUGCCCCUUAAAUCUUUGCAAGAUUUAGAGGUGUAUCAAUUCAAGCUCGAACAGAUCCCAUGGAUCAUAACCACAAGUGAGGUGCUCCUCCUCGACUUCAUAAGGGACAGGUACACGUGCAACUCAAAAAAGAAAAUAUCGAGAACAUUUCCUAUGUCUUUGUUUGAUGUGUGGUCCUGAUCAUUUUCUUAGUAUGUUGCUGUAGUUUCGAUAUAUGGUUGCCCUUCCCAUCCGAUUAUUUUGCAAAGCUGUCCAGGUACAGCAAAUGCCGCAUCGUUUCGUAGAUUGGUGUGGUCGUGUGGACGCGGUGGUCACGGCCGCCGUUCCGCUGUGACUAGCCUUUGUGCACACUGCUAGACACAUACAACAUGGAGUAAAAGGUUCGUGAUUGUUGGGGUUGGGUCUCCAGGACUGGAAUCAAUUCUCAGCUUGGUUUGAUUUAGGACGGCUUGAUCUCUUUUGCAGGCAUGGUCUGUUCAGUCCUCAUGCAGGUUAGGUUUGCUUCAAAAAUAUGUAUCAUGAGGUACUGAUAGCACACCAAUUAGUUCUGAUUUGGUACAAACGAAUUUUCAAUUGUUGAUCAUUGAUAUUUGCUAUAGGUUGUUGUAGAAAUAGGGCAUGGACACAGGCGCGGUUCUCUCCAUCUGAUCUCAUAUAUCCUGUUGGUAGUAGAGUUAGGACGUUGUCAGAUCUAGCCAAACGGAUCUUAAAAAAUGUUUGUCAAGAUCCCAACAGUUAUUUGGGGACAUUGAAGAUGUAAUAGCAGGUCUGCAUGUGGAUUUUGGUCAAAUACUUUUAUAAUAAAAUUACAGGAACACACUUAAGUGAUUAAAUUAAAAAUCUAAUACAAUGAAUUUUCACCGUUGAUGAUAGAAUUUUUAUGGAUGUGACCUCCACAGUAAGCGUUCUAGGAUGGAACAAACAUGAAAGUUUAAAUCGUCAGUUUUCUCCUGUUCUGGUGGCAUGGUAUUUCUUUAGUCUUAUUUAAUCUCAGAAUGAGGAAUGUCCUGUUGAGUUAGAGAAAGCGACCAGAGGUUGUGGAACUGAAAAUUUAGUCAAUAGAUUAGAGACAAAACAAGGAAAUUAGGUUUUGCAAAAUUAUCUUGGAGAAGUUGAUGGCUUCAUGCAAGGUCUAAAACAAAUAAUAUGCAGACUGUUGUUUGGGAAGUUACUCAAAAUAUCAAAAAGAGAUGAUGGGAGUACUAAACCAUAGGUGAUGAGAGUGUUGAAAGAGGUUACUGCCAAGUGCCAACAAUUAUUUCGGUAUCUCGAAGAGAAGACUACACCAGGGGUACAUGAUUCCUGGGACAUUGUACACGAAUUGAAUAAGAUCGGGAGAACAAGCCCUAUGUAUAUGCUGCGAAGUGGGAUUUAUCUGGAUGAGGAGAUGCAUGGCCUGUUAUGUAAAUGAAACUAGGGAAUGCCAUGUUCUUUGGAGGGCUUUCAGAAUGCAGUCCGCCCAUUUCUGAUUCCCUUCUUCCAUUGCCUUGAAGCGUGUUUCUUUCUAGGUAUUAUUGGUUGGCAAACUCAUUUAUAGGUCCAGGAGAACAUAAUGUCAGUCAAUGUUUGUAUCUUUUUUGCUUAUCAAGCAACAAUUUACAGUCAUUUCCCCUUUAUUUGGAAUCCCCAUUUUGCAUUGAAGCAACCAGACACACUAUACUUAUCUUUCACCUUCCAUUCUGAACGAAAUAGAAAUAGACUACAGUUGCGCGUCA